GGAUGAACUGCCAGAAUCCGAAUCUGUAAAGGAAGUUAGAACAAACAGCAAAAGAAAAUUAGACUAUAAACAAACUAGAGGCUCUCAUACCAGUUAUUUACAUAUAUAAAUCUUAAUUUAAUACAGCAAUCACAUAUGUUGCUUAAUAAUUAAGUAGACAACAAUGUAAGCCUGGCAACAAGAAGCCUCACACAAACAAUAUGGAAAUUUUCUAAUUUCCUCACCCAACCAACUUGGGAAUUGAGAACAUCAUCUCCUAAAUAUUGAUGAGAUUAGAACACGUGGAGCCAAAUGCCUCAUACCAGUGGAGCUUGAAAUCACAUGCCAAAAUCAGUUAAUAAGAAAAACUUGUGAGGCUCUCUGCAUUUCACACCUACAUGCAAUCAAUCCCAGAUGGAAACUAGAAUACAAGAUCAACAUUUGAUAAAUCAUUACAAAUCCUUUGCUUUACUCUGGAUCAAACAUGAAUCACAAAAAGAAAUUCCACAUAUGAUGAAAAUAGUAUUUGCCCAUUUUGAAACGCGACAUUAUGCAUUCAAUUAAGCCACAGCUCUCCAUUCCAAAACUUGACAACCGUGCAAAAAGAGUGAAUACAUUUGUGCCAAUGUAUAAGAUAUAGCAGUUUAGCUUAAAAAAUGACCCUCACGAUCCAACCAUUUCUUGAGUACUCCCCCAGACAGUCAAACUCCUAUCAACAUUCUCUGACCAGCUAGAUCUCUUACUGUGCCUAAUCUUUAGGUUGACUAAAAUUGGCCAGAUGAAUAAAAUUUCACAAAAUGAAAAUGAGUCGACAUUGCUCAAAUUUCUUGGCCAAAAUUAAAUAUUGAAGUCCAACAACAUAAAUCAAAUUUCAAUUUGCACAAGUUUGAUGCACUCAGAGUCGAGCAUUGCAAAUUUGAGCCAUGACAUCCUAAAUUGUAGACCAAAUACUAGAAUUUUUACCAGUCAAUCUCCUUUCACUUUCUCGUCAUGCUAUAAGUAACAUGUUUCACCCAAUAGACAUUUAGGGCUUUCCAAUAACACCUUCAAGUUUCAGCAAGCAAUUCCACCAAAAGUUUUGUUUCAGUUAAUUUUUGCUCACAGACCAAAAAAAAAAAACUUAUAUGCAUGUAACAUGCCCUUCUCUAGAUAUUUCUGUACCCCUCUACCUGUCAUUGACUGAAUGAUCCUAGCCGCACUCUCUGUUUCAGUCUGUCUUUCUCUUCACUGCCUCCAAUCUUGCAUCUUAACCCACUUUUGAUCUCUCUCAAUUUAGUGAUCAUUAACAAUUUAACACUCAAUAUCACCUAACGUUCUUUACUCUGAUUUAGCACCUACAUCACAAAUUAGCAGUAAAAAUUGCUUUGAGGCUGGAGAGCUUUGUUGGGUAACAUUUCAGCUUUAUUUAUUUAAUUUUUUCAAUGCAGAGGAUAUUGUAUUCUAAUGCACGAUGCAAAUUUCUUCCACUAUUAUUUAAUCACAUCACAAAAAAACAUGGCCUGCUAGUUUCAAAUAUUCUCAAACCAUGGUUAAAAAAGUUAUUCCUUUUAACCAUAGUGCCCCCAACUAAUAAAAUAUGGUCCCAACUCCACACUUGACCAUUAUGUAAAAUCUAAAUUAUUAGAAGCUACCUAGUUCCACAAACUAGAUUGUACCUGAGCAUAAGCCUCAAAUAUCAAUUAUAGCCUUAGAUCCAAGCUUGUUGUCAUACUUGGAUAAGUGAACCAUCACACUUAGAGAAUACUACCUAUGAUCAUAAUUAAAAUCCAAAUUACAAGAGACAAGACAAUGCUAGAACAUAAGGCUCAGAUACAAGGAAAACCUUCCUAGAUAUAGGACUAACCAACAGUCCCACAAUGAAUUUCAAUUAAAAAAAAUUCCAACUUUAUACAUCAAAAGAAAUAUAUGCUUAAAGUCUAUGGGACAAUAAAAAUUGUAAUCCCAUCAAUAUGCAAGCAAACCUUAAAGAUUAAAAAUAAAUGAAUAAAUAGAACUUUUUGAGUAUGUUUUCUUUCAACAAAUAUUUCAUGUAAGGACAUCAAGCUACCUUUGCACAGAAGCCCAUGUUGGAACAGUUCAACACAAACCCACUGACAAGGUACAAGUUAAGCAAUCAAAAUUUUACUAUUGUUUGUUAAUAAAUGUGACUAUAUUAUUAUUAUUACUA
rnacentral:misc_RNA from 1 species